rnacentral:lncRNA from 1 species
GCGUCCGCUAGAUGGCGCUGCUCCGUGCAUCCCGAUAGGCCCCGCCUGCCGCUGGGCGGGCGCCGGAAGGAUGGGGAAGGACCGGGAAGGACCGGAAGGCCCUGGGGUCGCGGGUUCAGGCCGUAGCGCCGCCUCUGGGGCUGAUUCGGGCCCGCCCUGCGGCUGCGUUCGGCCCUUGGGAGCUAGAGCCACUUUUCAGCUGCCGCUGGCUCCCAUCUCAGCGCUUUUGCACCGAGAGUCGGUGUUUUUGCACGCUUCUCCCAGGUCAUCCAAUCAAAAGCCUCUGCUCCACCGGGCCAACCCACAGAGCGGCCAGCGAUCCCCCUGCGGCCUUGGCAAGAGACCUUUAAAGAUGCAGGUGGAACCCGGAGAAAGCCACGCAGAGAAGCCGGGCCAGUGUUUGACCAACUGUGCCUGGAACUGGGCCAGGGAGAGGAAGUUACAGAGGGUUUGCAAAAUAACUUCCCCUCGCUUCUGAAGGCAGUUCCUUGGCCAAGGAUCAGAUCCGAGCCCCAGUUUUGACCUACACUGCAGCUGCGGCAACACCGGAUCCUUAACCCACUGCCUGACAAGGGAUCUUGCUGUUUGUUUGUUUGUUUAAGGGCUCUUCUGUCUUCCCCCAAAACUU